rnacentral:rRNA from 1 species
GGUAUAACUUAGUGGCAGACGGGUGAGUAAUGUAUAGGAAUCUACCUAGUAGUACGGAAUAAUUGUUGGAAACGGCAACUAAUACCGUAUACGCCCUACGGGGGAAAAAUUUAUUGCUAUUAGAUGAGCCUAUAUUAGAUUAGCUAGUUGGUGGAGUAAUAGCCUACCAAGGCAAUGAUCUAUAGCUGAUCUGAGAGGAUGAUCAGCCAUACUGGAACUGAGAUACGGUCCAGACUCCUACGGGAGGCAGCAGUGGGGAAUAUUGGACAAUGGGCGAAAGCCUGAUCCAGCCAUGCCGCAUGAGUGAAGAAGGCCUUUGGGUUGUAAAGCUCUUUUAGUGAGGAAGAUAAUGACGGUACUCACAGAAGAAGUCCUGGCUAACUCCGUGCCAGCAGCCGCGGUAAUACGGAGAGGGCUAGCGUUAUUCGGAAUUAUUGGGCGUAAAGGGCGCGUAGGCUGGUUAGUAAGUUAAAAGUGAAAUCCCGAGGCUUAACCUUGGAAUUGCUUUUAAAACUGCUAACCUAGAGAUUGAAAGAGGAUAGAGGAAUUCCUAGUGUAGAGGUGAAAUUCGUAAAUAUUAGGAGGAACACCAGUGGCGAAGGCGUCUAUCUGGUUCAAAUCUGGCGCUGAGGCGCGAAGGCGUGGGGAGCAAACAGGAUUAGAUACCCUGGUAGUCCACGCUGUAAACGAUGAAUGUUAAAUAUGGGGAGUUUACUUUCUGUAUUACAGCUAACGCGUUAAACAUUCCGCCUGGGGACUACGGUCGCAAGAUUAAAACUCAAAGGAAUUGACGGGGACCCGCACAAGCGGUGGAGCAUGUGGUUUAAUUCGAUGCAACGCGAAAAACCUUACCACUCCUUGACAUGGAAAUUAUACCUAUUCGAAGGGAUAGGG